UGGAUCCCUAUGCAGGCAGACCUAUAGGACAACUGCUGGAAAAUUAAAGGGAUAUUUUUAUCCCAAGUUUACAAGUGGAUCCCUUCUUUUGGACUUCACUGAUACUUUGAAAAAUUGCGGAAAUGACAACCUAAUGAGUCAAGAUAAAUGAAUUAAUUAUAUAUCUACAUGUUGGAGAAGAAUAUAAUUCAUUAGGUGGCCUACAAUAAGGAACCCCAUUAAAUGCUAUCAUACUCUGGGAUUAAUCUUCAAGUUUUUCAACUUAGUUUUAAAUACUUUUCAGUACAACUUUGGUCCAAUUAGAACUCCAUACCUUUUAUGAAUGCUACAGUUAUUCCAAUUUAAACAGAGAGCUGUUAUUAGAAAACACCCCUGAAGAAGUCGAUACAGACGAAACGCGUUGGUGAAAGCUCAUUAUAUUGUUUUAUACAUAUUUCUUAUACGAAUAAUGCUGAAAUACACAAUUGUAUCUUCAAUGUAAAAUAAAUUUUCAUGACUAAUUCAUUUUAAAUCUAAAUCUUUUAAUAAAGAGAUA